GUCUGAAGGAGCCACCUUCUGCAAGCUUUGCCUUUCCUCCUGUGAGCUGGCAGAGGACAGUAGAGCACUGCUGUUUGCGCCUGGUGACAGCUGGUGGUGAUGGGCCCUUCACACCCAUGGAGGGCAGGAAUGGGGCCUGAGCAUGGGGCCCUUCUUGUGCUGCUCUCCUGCAGAGGAAUGAAGGGGAUCUUUACAAGAGACAGGUUCUAGAGGGAGGUUAUCCCUGCCAGAAAGGUCACUCCUCUUUGCAGAGGAAGGGUCUUCCUUCUGAGUACCAGUUGCCAUUUAGACACAGCAUGAGCUCCUAGCCCAUGUUCACCAAGGGCAAAAGGACUGUGCUCUCUCCCUCUCCGUUGUGACAGGUGGAAAUGAGACAGAAAAAUGACACAGAAACCAAAUGGUCAGGACUCAGCUUUCUCAUCUCAUGUUUGUUAAUUUUGGCAAGCGUCUCAGCCCUUCAGGGCUCAGUUCCGGAAGGGAACUCACCUGAAGGGAAACACAUGGUAAGUUUUACCCCUGCCAGGGUCCUGCUAGUAAAGCUGCUUCUAGCUCAGUGAGGGCACCUCAACUUAUGUGUCUUGAUUCUCGGCACCAGGUGGCGCUGUGCCCAUUGCUUUUCACCCUGAAACUUUCCUUGGGUUGCCAUGUAUAUUGAUAUUGGCCAGCAAAGUCUGUAUCAUCUAUUUUCUUAAAUCUAAACAGUUUGUGGAAUUCCAGCCCAGCAGUAUCUGUUGCUGCCAGGAGCAAAGAAGGAAAGAAAACAACAUGCUGUUUAAGCCCUAGGGAGCCAGUUGUAAGGCUGAAGAUUGCUGGAAACUGGGUCAAAUAAAAGCUAAUCAUGA